rnacentral:tRNA from 1 species
UCCCUUAUAGCUCAGUUGGAAAAGAAUCUGCCUGCAAUGCAGGAGACCCGGGUUUGAUUCCUGGGUGGGGAA